rnacentral:rRNA from 1 species
AUUGAACGCUGGCGGCAUGCCUUACACAUGCAAGUCGAACGGCAGCACGGGAGCAAUCCUGGUGGCGAGUGGCGAACGGGUGAGUAAAGUAUCGGAACGUGCCCAGUCGUGGGGGAUAACGUAGCGAAAGCUACGCUAAUACCGCAUACGAUCUAUGGAUGAAAGCGGGGGAUCGCAAGACCUCGCGCGAUUGGAGCGGCCGAUAUCAGAUUAGGUAGUUGGUGGGGUAAAGGCCCACCAAGCCGACGAUCUGUAGCUGGUCUGAGAGGACGACCAGCCACACUGGGACUGAGACACGGCCCAGACUCCUACGGGAGGCAGCAGUGGGGAAUUUUGGACAAUGGGCGCAAGCCUGAUCCAGCAAUGCCGCGUGCAGGAUGAAGGCCUUCGGGUUGUAAACUGCUUUUGUACGGAACGAAACGGUGAGCUCUAGUACAGUUUGCUAAUGACGGUACCGUAAGAAUAAGCACCGGCUAACUACGUGCCAGCAGCCGCUGUAA